UGUUGCUUGCAAGGGCGUAUGGUGGAUGCCUUGGCAGACAGGACCGAUGAAGGACGUUUGAGGCUGCGAUAUGCCUCGGGGAGCCGCCAACAGGGCUUUGAUCCGAGGAUUUCCGAAUGGGGGAACCCACCGACCGUCAUGGGUCGGUACCGGCUUCGGCCGGGGGGUACGCAGGGAAGUGAAACAUCUCAGUACCUGCAGGAAAGGAUAUUCCGUGAGUAGUGGCGAGCGAAAGCGGAUGAUGGCCAAACCUUGCGCGUGUGAUACCCGUCGGGGGUUGCGCGCGGGGUGUUGCGGGAUCGCGUGCGCCGGCUCCGACGGGCCGGCCGGCAGUUGCAGAAAACCAUGUGUCAGGGGAACCGGGUUGAAUACCGGGCCGCAGAGGGUGAGGGCCCCGUACCUGAACGCGCAUGGUCUGCCGAUCGCGUCUCCCAAGUAGCACGGGUCCCGUGGAACCCCGUGCGAAUCCGCCCAGACCGUUGGGUAAGCCUGAAUAUUCCUGUCUGACCGAUAGCGAACGAGUACCGUGAGGGAAAGGUGAAAAGUACCCCGGGAGGGGAGUGAAACAGUCUCUGAAACCGUGCGCCUACAAUCCGUCGGAGCCCUUUUGUGGGGUGACGGCGUGCCUAUCGAAAAAUGAGUCUGCGAGUCAGUGGCAUGUGGCGAGCAUAACCCGUGUGGGGUAUGCGUAGCGAAGGCGAGUCUUAAAAGGCGUUUGAGUCGCGUGUCCUGGACCCGAAGCGGGAUGAUCUAGCCCUGAGCAGGUUGAAGCGCGGGUAAGACCGCGUGGAGGACCGAACCCACCUGGGUUGAAAACCGGGGGGAUGACUUGGGGCUAGGGGUGAAAGGCCAAUCAAAUUCCGUGAUAGCUGGUUCUCUCCGAAAUGCAUUUGGGUGCAGCGUCGGGUCAUUACGUCCCGGGGGUAGAGCUACUGGAUGCUUGCGGGCCCGUAUCGGGUACCAACAGCAACCAAACUCCGAAUACCGGUGACGCGUAUCCCGGCAGUGAGUCGGCGGGGGAUAAGCUUCGUCGUCGAAAGGGAAACAGCCCAGACCGUCGUCUAAGGUCCCGAAGCGUGUGCUAAGUGGGAAAGGAUGUGGAGUCGCAUAGACAGCCAGGAGGUUGGCUCAGAAGCAGCCACCCUUGAAAGAGUGCGUAACAGCUCACUGGUCUAGUGGUUCCGCGCCGACAAUGUAGCGGGGCUCAAGCACACCACCGAAGACGCGGCAGUAUUUUGUACUGGGUAGGAGAGCGUCCCAUGAGGGGCGAAGCGGCCGUGUGAACGCGCCGUGGACUUCAUGGGAGUGAGAAUGCAGACAUGAGUAGCGAGAGACGGGUGAAGAUCCCGUCCGCUGGAUGACCAAGGGUUCCAGGGCCACGUUCAUCGUCCCUGGGUGAGUCGGGUCCUAAGGCGAGGCCGACAGGCGUAGUCGAAUGGAUGAACGGGUCGAUAUUCCCGUACCGGCUUUCAGCCGCCAAAACCGAGGCUUGGAGUACUAACCUCCGGGUCCGGGCUUACUGCUCCUUCGGGGGCGGGAUGCCCUGGCCUGUUGGGACCGAUCCUUGUAGUAGGUCAGCGCAGGAGUGACGCAGAAGGGUAGCCGGCCGCGGAGGUGGUCUUCCGUGGUCAAGCACGCAGGGCGUGGGACAGGCAAAUCCGUCCCGCAUGGGUCCGAGGUGCGAUGAUGGGGGCCUUAUGGCCCGAUAUCCGGUGAUCCCGGCUGCCGAGAAAAGCUUCGGCGUCAGGCUCGAAGCCGCCCGUACCCCAAACCGACACUGGUGGUCAGGUAGAGAAUACCAAAGCGAUCGAGCGAAUCCUGGUCAAGGAACUCGGCAAAUCACUCCCGUUCCUUCGGUUUAAGGGAGACCCCCGAUGGUGAACCGCCUCGCGCGGGGAGCUUUUGGGGGUGGCACAGACCAGGGGGUAGCGACUGUUUACCAAAAACACAGGUGCAUGCGAAGGCGCAAGCCGCUGUAUAUGCACUGACGCCUGCCCGGUGCCGGAAGGUUAAGAGGAUCCGUCAGCCUUCGGGUGAAGCGGUGAAUUCAAGCCCCGGUAAACGGCGGUGGUAACUAUAACCAUCCUAAGGUAGCGAAAUUCCUUGUCGGGUAAGUUCCGACCUGCACGAAUGGCGUA
rnacentral:rRNA from 1 species